CCUACGGGAGGCUGCAGUGGGGAAUAUUGGACAAUGGGCGAAAGCCUGAUCCAGCCAUGCCGCGUGUGUGAAGAAGGCCUUCGGGUUGUAAAGCACUUUCAGUGGGGAAGAAAGCCUUGGGGCUAAUACCCUCGAGGAAGGACAUCACCCACAGAAGAAGCACCGGCUAACUCCGUGCCAGCAGCCGCGGUAAUACGGAGGGUGCGAGCGUUAUUCGGAAUUACUGGGCGUAAAGCGCGCGUAGGCGGUCUGAUAAGCCGGUUGUGAAAGCCCCGGGCUCAACCUGGGAACGGCAUCCGGAACUGUCAGGCUAGAGUGCAGGAGAGGAAGGUAGAAUUCCCGGUGUAGCGGUGAAAUGCGUAGAGAUCGGGAGGAAUACCAGUGGCGAAGGCGGCCUUCUGGACUGACACUGACGCUGAGGUGCGAAAGCGUGGGUAGCAAACAGGAUUAGAUACCCGAGUAGUC
rnacentral:rRNA from 1 species